ensembl:snRNA U6 U6 spliceosomal RNA
UCGCUUUGGCAGUGUACAUGCUAAAAGUGGAAUGAGACAGAGAACAUUAGCAUGGGCCCUGCUCAAGGAUGACCUGCAAAUUCAUAAAGCAUUCCAUAUUUUU